UGCCGGCGGAGGUCUUCUUCUUCGGAGCCUCACCAAUGUUAGGUUCCCUUGGCCACUAGCGGCCGAUUCUCUUUGGCCAGCGGCCGAUCCUCUGUGCUCUUUCUCGCGAACGAGUGAUGCCACGAGAUUAGGGUUUCCAGCUCCGGCGAUCUUUCCCCGCCGGCAUCAGCAUCUAUUGAGCUUCGAUUCAGCCGCAGACCUUCUCUCUCGCGGACGGCCGACGACCUCUCGGUGGCUAGGGCACGGCGAGGAGCCGGAUCUUGCAUCCUCUUCAACCGUGUCGUUGCCGGCUUUGAAGGUAAGCAACCUAUUCCUUCUCGUCUCUUGGUUGUCGCCUAUCUUUGAGCAAAGUGGGGUUUCUAUGGAUUCGAAGUUCUAUUCCUGUGGAGUUUUUCUUUGGCUUCAGCAGUAGCUAUCCUUCCAGCAGCAAUCAUCCACGAUUGAGGAUCAACAGAGAGUGAAUUGUUGAUCUCUUCUCUUGAUCCGAUCG